UAAAACUUUGUUUACGUGCAUAGGUUAAAUAUUCAGUUUUGGAUAUAUUUUGAAUUCGAAUUUGAAUUGAUUUUGCUUCUGCUUUCAGAGAAUGUUCAGUGUAGAAGAAUUGGCUUUGUACUCCGCACCGGCGGAGAGAAGACAAUUUGGUGGAGAUAAAAAAGAACAAAAGAGAAGAUAAUUUGUUGAAGAAGAGACGUGAAGGUCUCUUGCCUCAGUCUCAGCCACUUCUCGAUGCCUCUCAAAACGCUGCCGCCGCCAUUGAAAAGAAAAGUUCUCUGAGCAUAUCGGGUUUCAUAGGUGGGUGUGAGGCGAGGUCAGAGAUAACACACACGCCUCAAUAAUUCAUUCAAUCGCCCAUGGAUUCCAAUUCGCAGCAGCCACCAGAAAGUGCGUAAAUAAAAAAUUUAUGGAUGAGGAGUUGGAACGUUAUCCAGUAUGUGAUAUCCCUUUGAGUGCUGUUCCUUCUGAGAAAUUGAGGUGAGAGCAGAAGAAGAAGAAGGUUGGCAAGAAGGUGAAGGUAAGAGCCAGGGCUGGGCCAAAAGGGUUUGGGCAAAAGAUUGAUGAUUGAUCAGGAAUGCAGAUUGAUGAUCAUGUAAACUUCUCAUUGUCUUUGUAACUCAUAUUAGCUAUACAUGAUUAAAUUUUGCGUCAUUAUUGUGACCUCUUUGGCUGUAUAAAAUGUAUUUUAUUUUUGUCUGUUGUGAGGAAAUGUGUCUCAGUUAAUCUAUCAUGCCUAGGAUGAAUUAUUUUACUUCUUGACCUUCAACUUGGAUAAUUAUCAUAUUAAGAUGUAAGGGAGUUGGUCUUAAUUAACAGCUUUCUUUUGUCAAAAAUCAAUUGUUUACAUUGAGUUU